rnacentral:rRNA from 1 species
AGUGAACGCUGGCGGUAGGCCUAACACAUGCAAGUCGAACGGCAGCACAGUAAGAGCUUGCUCUUAUGGGUGGCGAGUGGCGGAAGGGUGAGGAAUACAUCGGACUCUACUUUUUCGUGGGGGAUAACGUAGGGAAACUUACGCUAAUAUAGCAUACGAUCUACGGGGGAAAGGAGGGGAACUUCGCACCUUGCGCGAUUGAAUGAGCCGAUGUGGGAUUUGUUAGUUGGCGGGGUAAAGACCCACCAAGGGGACGAUCCGUAGCUGGUGUGAGAGGAUGAUCGGCCGCACUGGAGCGGAGACACGGACCAGGCUCCUGAGGUAGGCAGCAGUGGGGAACAGUGGGCAAUGGGCGCAAGCCUGAUCCAGCCAUACCGCGUGGGUGAAGGAGGCCUUCGGGUUGUAAUGCCCGUUUGUGGGGAAAGAAAAGCAGCAGGUUAAGACCCCGCUGUUCUGACGGUACCCAAUGAAUAAGCACCGGCUAACUUCGUG